GGUGAAGUCGUGUCGGAAGCUGGUGUUUCUGUACCUUCACUGCACGGCAGACACCGGCCGGGCCGUGCUGACCGCCCUGAAGGAGACGGACCUGGGCCGGGACAGUGAUGGCCGGCCCCGUACCAUCUGUCUCAUUGUCCCCGAGGAGCUGUACGAUCAGCUGAAGAGCCAGGAAGGCGAUGGGGUCAAAGUGUAUGAGUGGCGCUGAUUGAUGCGCUGCACUACCGACCGUGCAGUGAUGAGCUGACUGCAGAGAGGCCGAGCCAGUCGGCCGGGGCCGCCAGCUGACUGCUGCCGUGUGUGCUGCACCAGCCGGCACUGAGAGCGGCGCCGGUCAGCCGGCACACGGCCCCCGUGUCCGCUCCAGUGUAGCCAUGUACGUUGUAGUAGUAGUAGUGUAGAUGUAGUAGUAGCACACGGAUGUGAUGUAGUGGGUAAUUACCGGGUGGGUAAUGUGAGUAAUUGACUGGACGGAUAUGAUCUAGUGGGUAAUUACCGUGCGGGUAUUUUGGGUAAUUGGCUGGAACGAUGUGAUCUAGUGGGUAAUUACCGGGCGGGUAUUGUGGGUAAUUCGACAGUGAGAUGUGUUGUAGUGGGUAAUUACCGGGCGGGUAUUGUGGGUAAUUGGCUGGAACUAGUGAUGUCAAUUACGGAAAAUCGGAAUACCGAUACCAAACCAAAUGCCAACCAAAACCGUGAAGAAAUACCGAAACCAAACCAACUUGGGAACAUGAGGAAAAUACCAACCUUUUACCGAUUUUUUAGCCUCUUAAACAUUAGCGAGUGUUCAUGAUACCAACAAAAUACCAAACACAUUAGGAUUGAAAUACCAAAUACCGAGUUGGUAUCGGUUUGGUAUCGGUUUACCAAAAAGUUGGUAUCCGAUUGACAUCUCUAGCUGGAACGAUGUGAUCUAGUGGGUAAUUACCGGGCGGGUAUUGUGGGUUAUUGGACAGUGAAAAGUGAUGUGCUGGAGAGACUACCGAUCGUGGCAUUACGCUAUUCUGUAUGAAGAACACACGUCUCUGACCGUCCGACUCGGUUCACCGCGCCUGGUCCCGGCGGCACGGCCGGCCUCGGUCACGUGACCGCUCCCCCGGUGGAGUCGGACGGCUCGGUCACGUGACCGCUCCCCCCGGGUCUGGCUGCACCUCGGCUCGGCCGUGCUGAGCGCCGUGCUGAGCGUGUUGUGACACGUCCCACACGGACAGCUCUACUCGACUACUGGCUAGCUGCCGUCCGAGCUGGCAGUAUCCACGCGGUGCCAGUUCAGACGGCGGCCGGCCGCGCCGCGCCCGCCCGCUCCGGUCCCGGCCGGCGGCCGUCACCCGGCCCGGGGCGGGGACCGGUCCGUCAGCUGACCAUUGGUCCGUCAGCUGAUUGGUCCGUCAGCUGAUUGGUCCGUCAGCUGAUUGGUCAGUCAGCUGAUUGGUCCGUCAGCUGACCAUUGGUCAGUCAGCUGACCAUUGGUCCGUCAGCUGAUUGGUCCGUCAGCUGAUUGGUCAGUCAGUUCAUUCAGUCAGUCAGAUUGGUUAGUCAGAUGUCUACUACAUACACGAGAGGAGACGCUUCAGCUGUAAUAUAUGUAGCCUGGGGCAAUUAGUUACCGGGCGAGUAUUGUGGGUAAUUGGAUGAAGUGAUGCGAUGUAGUGGGUAAUUACCGGUCGGGUAUUGUGUAUAAUGUAACUCUGGGUAUGAUAUAGCCGGCUAUCCAACGGUCGGAUAUAGUCAGCUGGAUGCUACUGAAUUGUGUAGAGCUCUGACGGCACCGGUCAUAACGAGUGUCCUCGCGUCUGUCCGACUCGGUUCACGGAAGCACGCCGUCACGGCCCGGGUGCGCGCCGCCAUGUUUGGUGUCCUCUGCUUCGUACAGGGGGUAAUUGGGCUACCGACCGAUUGGGAGUCGGAGUCGGAGUCCGUGUCGAUCAAGCUGCCUUGACUCCGACUCCGGAACGGCUUUUUAGAUUUUAGUUAUCACUUGGCCAUGCUACUGAUAAUCGGCUGCGCUUUGACUAAUACAUUUUACACAUG
rnacentral:lncRNA from 1 species